rnacentral:sRNA from 1 species
UUAUAGCCCAGAUAGAAGCGAUAUCCUUUUUAUUUUUUUUCUUUCAAAAAAUAAAAAGAUACAAGCGGAUAGCUGGAUUAGCU